GACGAACGCUGGCGGCGUGCCUAAUACAUGCAAGUCGAGCGGACGAAUCGAAAGCUUGCUUUUGAUUCGUUAGCGGCGGACGGGUGAGUAACACGUGGGCAACCUGCCCUGUAGACGGGGAUAACACCGAGAAAUCGGUGCUAAUACCGGAUAACACGAAAUGUCGCAUGACGUUUCGUUGAAAGACGGCGCAAGCUGCCGCUACAGGAUGGGCCCGCGGCGCAUUAGCUAGUUGGUGAGGUAACGGCUCACCAAGGCGACGAUACGUAGCCGACCUGAGGGGGUGAUGGGCCACACUGGGACUGAGACACGGCCCACACUCCUACGGGAGGCAGCAGUAGGGAAUCUUCCGCAAUGGACGAAAGUCUGACGGAGCAACGCCGCGUGAGCGAAGAAGGCCUUCGGGUCGUAAAGCUCUGUUGUUAGGGAAGAACAAGUAACGCAGUAACUGGCGUUACCGUGACGGUACCUAACGAGAAAGCCACGGCUAACUACGUG
rnacentral:rRNA from 1 species